AUGAGCUGCGCUGCAGAUAACAAGAUGUGGCGAGGAGAAGCGGCUGGUCCAGGACACAGAACGGUAUCUCACACAUGGAAUUUUUCCAUUAUCUUCAAAGACAACCUUGUCUCUGGUCUUAUUACAUCUCUGGAAUUAACAAAUAAGAUGAUCACCCCAAAACCUGGAAAGACUUAAAUGAAGUGAUGCAAAGUGAAGUGAGCAGAACCAGGAGAAGGUUAUACACAGGAACAGCAAUUAUGUAUGAUCAACUGUGAAUGACUAUUAUCAACAAGGUAAGCAUCCAGGACAACUGCAAGAGACUCAUGACAAACAAAGGAGAUCCACAGCCAAAGAAAGAACAGAUGGAGUGUGAAUGCAAAUGGAAACAUUUGUUUCCUCCAUGAAUUUUUCUCGAGUGUGAACAAUAUAUCUCUUCCUUCACCACAUGACAAACAUGGAAAUGUGUAUUAUAUAAUAAUAUAUCUACAACUUAUAUCAUAUUACCUGCUUUCUUAGAAUGGGGAAAGGUUGAAAGGGAGAGAAAGAACAUGGAUCAGAAAACAAAUAUUAAGAAAUUGUAUUGACAUAAUCUAGAAAAAAUAAAAUUUAUUAAAAAUAACA
rnacentral:lncRNA from 1 species